rnacentral:tRNA from 12 species
CGGGGCGUAGCGCAGUCUGGUAGCGCACUUGCAUGGGGUGCAAGGGGUCGCGAGUUCGAAUCCCGCCGUUCCGACCA